GAUGAACGCUGGCGGCGUGCCUAAUACAUGCAGGUCGAGCGAACAGACGAGGAGCUUGCUCCUCUGACGUUAGCGGCGGACGGGUGAGUAACACGUGGAUAACCUACCUAUAAGACUGGGAUAACUUCGGGAAACCGGAGCUAAUACCGGAUAAUAUAUUGAACCGCAUGGUUCAAUAGUGAAAGACGGUUUUGCUGUCACUUAUAGAUGGAUCCGCGCCGCAUUAGCUAGUUGGUAAGGUAAUGGCUUACCAAGGCAACGAUGCGUAGCCGACCUGAGAGGGUGAUCGGCCACACUGGAACUGAGACACGGUCCAGACUCCUACGGGAGGCAGCAGUAGGGAAUCUUCCGCAAUGGGCGAAAGCCUGACGGAGCAACGCCGCGUGAGUGAUGAAGGUCUUCGGAUCGUAAAACUCUGUUAUUAGGGAAGAACAAAUGUGUAAGUAACUAUGCACGUCUUGACGGUACCUAAUCAGAAAGCCACGGCUAACUACGUG
rnacentral:rRNA from 1 species